UACGUAGGGUGCAAGCGUUGUCCGGAAUUAUUGGGCGUAAAGAGCUCGUAGGCGGUUUGUCGCGUCGGAUGUGAAAUCCCGGGGCUUAACCCCGGGCCUGCAUUCGAUACGGGCUGACUAGAGUUCGGCAGGGGAGACUGGAAUUCCUGGUGUAGCGGUGAAAUGCGCAGAUAUCAGGAGGAACACCGGUGGCGAAGGCGGGUCUCUGGGCCGAUACUGACGCUGAGGAGCGAAAGCGUGGGGAGCGAACAGG
rnacentral:rRNA from 1 species